AUGUAGCCCUGUGGAUGUAGAUCUGUCUUCCGUGGAUGAGUCCGCAACUCAACCAGUGCUAAAGUAUCUGGUCGCUUCUUCUGCUUUAGCGAGUUUAGUUGU